rnacentral:rRNA from 1 species
ACGGGUGAGGAAUACAUCGGAAUCUGCCUAUUUGUGGGGGAUAACGUAGGGAAACUUACGCUAAUACCGCAUACGACCUACGGGUGAAAGCGGAGGACCUUCGGGCUUCGCGCAGAUAGAUGAGCCGAUGUCGGAUUAGCUAGUUGGCGGGGUAAAGGCCCACCAAGGCGACGAUCCGUAGCUGGUCUGAGAGGAUGAUCAGCCACACUGGAACUGAGACACGGUCCAGACUCCUACGGGAGGCAGCAGUGGGGAAUAUUGGACAAUGGGCGCAAGCCUGAUCCAGCCAUGCCGCGUGGGUGAAGAAGGCCUUCGGGUUGUAAAGCCCUUUUGUUGGGAAAGAAAAGCAGUCGGUUAAUACCCGAUUGUUCUGACGGUACCCACAGAAUAAGCACCGGCUAACUUCGUGCCAGCAGCCGCGGUAAUACGAAGGGUGCAAGCGUUACUCGGAAUUACUGGGCGUAAAGCGUGCGUAGGUGGUUUGUUAAGUCUGAUGUGAAAGCCCUGGGCUCAACCUGGGAAUUGCAUUGGAUACUGGCAGGCUAGAGUGCGGUAGAGGGUAGUGGAAUUCCCGGU